rnacentral:rRNA from 1 species
UACAGAGGUGCCGAGCGUUAGGCGGAAUCACUGGGCUUAAAGCGCGUGUAGGCGGGUCGCUAAGUGUCCGCGUGAAAUCCCACGGCUCAACCGUGGAACGGCCGGGCAUACUGACGACCUUGAGGUGCUCAGGGGCGAGCGGAACGAACGGUGGAGCGGUGAAAUGCGUAGAUAUCGUUCGGAACGCCGACGGUGAAAACAGCUCGCUGGGAGCAUCCUGACGCUGAGACGCGAAAGCCAGGGGAGCGAACGGGAUUAGAUACCCCGGUAGUCCUGGCCCUAAACGAUGUCCACUAGGUCGCGGCGGCUCUGACGCCGUCGCGGCCGGAGCAAAAGUGUUAAGUGGACCGCCUGGGAAGUACGGUCGCAAGGCUAAA